UACGAAGGGGGCUAGCGUUGCUCGGAAUCACUGGGCGUAAAGCGCACGUAGGCGGAUCUUUAAGUCAGGGGUGAAAUCCUGGAGCUCAACUCCAGAACUGCCUUUGAUACUGAAGAUCUUGAGUGCGGGAGAGGUGAGUGGAACUGCGAGUGUAGAGGUGAAAUUCGUAGAUAUUCGCAAGAACACCAGUGGCGAAGGCGGCUCACUGGCCCGAUACUGACGCUGAGGCACGAAAGCGUGGGGAGCAAACAGG
rnacentral:rRNA from 1 species